CAGGCCUGAGCUCCGGAUAUUUCUCCUGUUCUGGAGACAGUGAGAAGUGAAAGAGAAAUGGCUGCCCCUGCACCACUUACCGCGAAGGAGGCUCAAGGCUGGGGGGCCCCUCUGCCUUCCAGUGACCGCCCGUGUCACAUCCUGACCCGCUCAGCAGGAGAACACAGCAGGUCCCUCCGACCGCAGUCGGCCUCUCCAGCCUGCCAUGCCUCUGGCCAUGAGGCGACCCGCUGGAGUGAUGGAUUCCCGUCACUACCACCCACAGGGCGAGGGGGUGCAUUGGUCUGCUUGGGCCGCUGUAACAAAAUGCCACAGCCUGGAUGAGUGACUGACAUUGCUUCCCCACCGUUCUGGAGGCUGGAGGCCCGAGAUCGAGGUCCCUGACACUAUUUCAGUGAUGCCAGAGCCCAGGAGGAGUCGACCAAGCCCCAGCGUGGCCAUAAGCACCUUCGCAGGACCACGGAGUCGCUGCAGGUGUUCAGCCCUGUUGAGAGUGGGAGUCGGUGUCGAUGGUCACAGCUCAGUAACUCAUCGUCACCAGCGAGUACCACAGAGCAGACACAACUGCACUUCUCUGUAGAGCCUCCAGUCGAUACUGAGAGCCACUGGGGCGUCUGACACCCAAGGGUGCAGACAUUCACUCCAAGUCCAGAGACCGCGCCCUUUCUAAGGCCCUGUCUCACAGUCGCCCCGUGCUCAUUGUGCCGGAUGUUUCCACAGCCACAGAGACGGUGAGGUGCAGCCUAGUGCAUAUGACUGACAGAAACGUGAAGCCACAGUGGACGCCUGGAUGAGACACAGAUCACCUUCCAAAUCUGAGUGUGGCCUUGGGACCAACCAGGCAGCCAGGGAGAAGGCAGAGACCAGAGGGAACCCAGGUGCCCUCAAUCCCAGCCUCCUCUAUCCCAGCCUCCCAAUCCCAGCCUCCCCAAUCCCAGCCUCCUAAUCCCAGCCUCCUCCAUCCCAGGACCCCCACUCCCAGCCUCCCGAUCCCAGCUUCUCUGAUCCCAGCCUCCCCUAAAA
rnacentral:lncRNA from 1 species